CCUACGGGGGGCAGCAGUGGGGAAUAUUGCACAAUGGGCGAAAGCCUGAUGCAGCAACGCCGCGUGAAGGAAGAAGGGUUUCGGCUCGUAAACUUCUAUCAACAGGGACGAAAGAAAUGACGGUACCAGAAUAAGAAGCCCCGGCUAACUACGUGCCAGCAGCCGCGGUAAUACGGAGGGGGCAGGCGUUAUCCGGAAUUACUGGGUGUAAAGGGUGAGUAGGCGGCAUGGUAAGCCAGAUGUGAAAGCCUUGGGCUUAACCCGAGGAUUGCAUUUGGAACUAUCAAGCUAGAGUACAGGAGAGGAAAGCGGAAUUCCUAGUGUAGCGGUGAAAUGCGUAGAUAUUAGGAAGAACACCAGUGGCGAAGGCGGCUUGCUGGACUGAAACUGACGCAGAGGCACGAAAGCGUGGGGAGCGAACAGGAUUAGAUACCCUGGUAGUC
rnacentral:rRNA from 1 species